rnacentral:rRNA from 1 species
UGACCGAGGGAUUCCAAGUGCCUAUGCUAUGCGUAGGCUGUUUUUAUGUCUAAAUAACAUGGAGAGUAAGAGCUGGGUAAGACGGGUGCCAGCCGCCGCGGUAAUACCUGCAGCUCGAGUGGUAACCGCUAUUAUUGGGCCUAAAGCGUCCGUAGCCGGUUUGGUAAAUAUCUGGGUAAAUCGUGAGGCUUAACUUCACGAAUCUCGGAUAGACUGC